rnacentral:rRNA from 1 species
GACGGAGGAUGCAAGCGUUAUCCGGAAUGAUUGGGCGUAAAGCGUCCGCAGGUGGCAGUUCAAGUCUGCUGUCAAAGACCGAGGCUUAACUUCGGAAAGGCAGUGGAAACUGAACAGCUAGAGUAUGGUAGGGGCAGAGGGAAUUCCUGGUGUAGCGGUGAAAUGCGUAGAGAUCAGGAAGAACAUCGGUGGCGAAGGCGCUCUGCUGGACCAUAACUGACACUCAGGGACGAAAGCUAGGGGAGCGAAUGGG